UAAUGUCUGGGAAACUGCCUGAUGGAGGGGGAUAACUACUGGAAACGGUAGCUAAUACCGCAUAACGUCGCAAGACCAAAGAGGGGGACCUUCGGGCCUCUUGCCAUCGGAUGUGCCCAGAUGGGAUUAGCUAGUAGGUGGGGUAACGGCUCACCUAGGCGACGAUCCCUAGCUGGUCUGAGAGGAUGACCAGCCACACUGGAACUGAGACACGGUCCAGACUCCUACGGGAGGCAGCAGUGGGGAAUAUUGCACAAUGGGCGCAAGCCUGAUGCAGCCAUGCCGCGUGUAUGAAGAAGGCCUUCGGGUUGUAAAGUACUUUCAGCGGGGAGGAAGGGAGUAAAGUUAAUACCUUUGCUCAUUGACGUUACCCGCAGAAGAAGCACCGGCUAACUCCGUGCCAGCAGCCGCGGUAAUACGGAGGGUGCAAGCGUUAAUCGGAAUUACUGGGCGUAAAGCGCACGCAGGCGGUUUGUUAAGUCAGAUGUGAAAUCCCCGGGCUCAACCUGGGAACUGCAUCUGAUACUGGCAAGCUUGAGUCUCGUAGAGGGGGGUAGAAUUCCAGGUGUAGCGGUGAAAUGCGUAGAGAUCUGGAGGAAUACCGGUGGCGAAGGCGGCCCCCUGGACGAAGACUGACGCU
rnacentral:rRNA from 1 species